AUAUAGUAUAUAAUAUGUUUUUUAUGUAUAUACUAAAAACUUUUUUUUCUGAAAUUCAUAUGCAACUGAGAGUCCUGUAUUUUUUCAGGCAAUCCUAAAACCUAGCUAGGCUUACACAAUAAAGCUCAAAAAGUUUCCUAUAGCUUAAGUAAUGAACAUUUUAUAAUUUGUUAAUACCUAACCUUUAGGUAUCAUUAAGUACUACAUUGACAUAGAGUACCCAUAGCAGCAAACCCUUUGAAACAUGGUUCAUUUAUUAAAUAUUUGCUGAAUGCCUUUAUGUGUUUAGACUUAUGCUAGCUCUAAGGGGCACUCCAAAAAAGUGAAAAGCAAGUCUGUAUCCUUUGACCAACUUGCUUUUCACAUAAGAUGAAUAAGUUCGAGAAACCUAACGUGAAGCUUGGUAACUAUAAUAUCUUGCAUACUUGAAAUUUGCUAAGAGAAUAGAUCUUAAGUAUUCUAACUACACAUGCAUAUGAAAAGGUAACUAUGUGAAGUGGAUAUAUUAAUUAGUUUGAUUGUGGUAAUCAUUUCACAACGUAUACAUAUAUCAAAAUAUUACAUUCUUUACCUUGAAUACAUAUAAUUUUUAUUGACACCUUAAUAAAGCUAGAAAAAAAUAAGUGAAAGGCCUAGUCCGAUGCCCCUUAGAAGACUAGAUUCUAUUUGCAAAUAGGACUCACUGCUGAAAAUUAAUUUUUCAGCUACCCUGGGGUUAAUUGCUCAUGAGGCUCAGCUCUGCAUGGGGCACCAUAAAGAGGCCUGUGGACUAACGGAGAAUCAGGAUUAGGGUAAUAGCCCUUGAAAUGUACCUUCUUGGGAGCUUACAGAAGUGGAGCUCCCCACAGGUAGCCACUACAGAGACAGGCACUGGCUAUUUGCUUGUUUUGCAGUAAACGAUAAGUGUAGAUGUUUUGCAGUUUUUGCUGAGAGAAGCAAAAGGUUGUCCUGAGUCACUGGACACUUACAUUCUCUUUUCAAAACUACUACAAAAAUAUUUAGUACUUAACUAGAAUGUACAUUGAAAUUAUAUUUCCCUAUAAUCCUGUUUGUGUCAGCACAUUAAAAUUCCCUUGAAUGUUUCUUAUGUAACCACUUCUGGUUAACUCUUAUCUUGAAGUUAGUACAAUUUAGUCUUUGCUGUCUUUUUCAUCACUGUGAAAGUCCCUUUCUCAGAUUCUUCAAUUGCAUCAAAUUCCCCAUGCACUCCAAAUCUUAUUCCACUCCCAAUUUAUGUAAAACCAAUUGUGCUUUCAGUCUAUUUAUUUUAGUUCAAGUAGACACCUUAUUUAAAGAGGCUUUAUAGCUCUCAUACUAAUUACUUAUGCACUCACCUGUACUGCAUGAUGGGAGAAAUGCGCAGCCUUCACCGUCAUCAAAACGUUCAGUAAAUACUUAAUUUUUCAUGUCUUUGAUUGAUACUAUGUGAAGAUUUACAAAGAGUUACACAAAACUGGCUUCUUUUCACUAGAAGCUGAAAUUGGAAAGUUGACACAGGUAUAUGGACAAAUACAACAUAAAGCAAAAGUGCAAUUAUUUGGCCUGAUCAAUGUUUAAGUGUGCCCAAGCUCAUUUCCACUUCAUAACAUAUGCUGGUUGUUCCAUCUCCUUUUAAUUCUCUUCCUCCAGAUCUUUAUAUCUCUUGCACUCUCACUUUAUUAUUAAUUUUUGUUGCUGUUGAAAUGCUACUUUCUCAGAGAAAUUUUUUUCUGAUCCUGUUUUCUAAAAUAGAGUUUUCUCCAACAUUUUUACAAAAUUACUCUCUAAGUUCUUAACUUGAUUUUUAUAUAUAUGUUACCAUCACACUUGUCAGUACCUGAAACUGUAUUAUAGAUCAAUUUCUUUGUUUAUGGUUUGUCACCAUAGAAUGAAAUUCCAUAAAGGCCACAAAUUUGUCUUAUUUAUUACUAUAUUUUUAGUGUUUGAAAUAGUGCCUGCUACCUAGGAGGUGCUUGUUAAAUUUUUGUGAGUUAAUGAAUGAAUAAGUCUCAUUUGAUUCAAAAUGAAAGGUGAGGUGAAAUAUUGGGAACAUAUCAAAGAAGAUGUUAAAAUGGUGAAGGAAGAGUCAUCAGGAACACUGUUGAAAUAAGAGAAGGAUCUUAGAGAUUGCCUGCUUGUUGAAAAAGAAUGGAGGAAAACCCAGGUGGAGAAAUUCCAAUUUUGAAUCAAUUUAGGAGCACUGAACAGUAUGAAAGAGAUAUUCUCAGCUGAGUUGUUUAGGGCAGGGGUAUUUGAACGAAAGAACCUGUUGCCUCUUUUUGAUUCCUGAGCUUGAGGAGUUGAGAACAAUGGGUAAACAAUGUUUGUUGUGGCAUGGUACUCAGGGACAUAUCUGCUAGCACCCAUGGAUCUGUUAUCUGUUCCAAACCAAAUCUGGCAGCCUGGUAAAGUGAGGAUUCCAGUUGUCUUGGGUAGUAACUACACUUUCUUUCUUUCUUUCUUUUUUUUAAAUCAUCUGCUACAUUUCUCAGAACUAGGGAAUCCCUGAAAGAAAUUUUCAAGACAUAGAGCACAAAGACUGGAUCUGUUUGUUAUAUUUUGAGUAAGAAUAGAGGCUACUAUUCAGGAAAUGCACUUUGUUAUUUGAGGAAGGGAAAUGUAGAAAGGGCAGUCUGCCCAUUAGCCUUUUCUAAAAAGCAAUCAGUAUUUCCAGUGGCAUCCUUAGCUGGUCAAGCCUCAUAGAACAGUCUUGCCCUGGGGCAUUAUACCUGUUGUGCCCAUUUGUUAUGGGUUUUUCAUGAGUCUCCCAAUUUCAGAAUGUUGCCGUGUUGUCAGACCUUGUGCCUGCCAUGCUAUGGCAUGUUGUCACAAUAAGGCUUCUGAUUUUAGGUGCCGUUUUAUAAUUAUUGAAAAAGUUAGGUAUGUGACAAAGUAUGCUGGACUUCAUAGAUAAAACAAAGUCUACAAAAAAUUUUAAAAAUUAGUCUCUAAUUUUUGCUACUUGUAUAUAUUAAAACCAAUGUGAAUUCUCUGAAUCUUGUCCAGAAUUUCAACCUACUUAACCCACGUGAUUCACAUGAGAAGGGAGGCUAGGAGGGAGAUGGAUCGAGAAAAAUGAAAUAGGAGGAUGUAUUUCACAAUAAAUAAUGAGAAUUUUAUGUAAAGUUCCAAUUAGAAAGAAGGUAGAUUUAGGCCUUCUAAAUAAACUUAAGGUUUCAAGAACCACUUGAAGAAAUCUGUAAAGAGGAGGAUAUCAAGAGCAGGAGGAUAUCUGAGCUAUACACAGUUGUAGCCCAGAUGAAGUAGUACAGGCCCCAAGAAAAAGAAUGGUUAUACAAUGUGACCAAUACUUCCCAAUGGAAGGCUUUUCCAUAUAAUGUAUAACAGAAGUGGUACACAUUCAUAGCAAUUUGAUAAAACAAUUAUAUUUUCCAGUUAAUAGUCACAAUAAUCCUGAUAGGUACAAAAGGUAUUACAAUUAUCCCACUUUUAAGUUAAGAAAAAUGAGUUCUGGAGUGUCUGAGCUUGUAUGUAAGACAUAAAGGCUUUUGGAACUCAUUCAGUGAUUACACAGAGAGAGUCUAUUUCUGCCUGAAACACACAAGGUAAAUUGUGUCUUUAACAACCCAUCUCCUAUCAACCAUCUAUCCAAAAGGCAGGUGCAUCAUAACAGCACAGUAAGUAGAAGGUUCAGGAAGAGCAUGAGAGCUUUUCUUACAGAAAGAGAUCACAUCAAUUGCCUAUUGUGAGUGGAUUACCUUGUGAAAAAUAAGCAUGAUUUAAAUUUUCAGUUGACAGUCAAAAUUCAAUAAACUACUUCGGUGUUGUCAAAGCUGUUUUCUGUAUUCAUAUUACAGAAAAUGGGCCACUUAAUCUUUAAAAAGUGAUCAAUUAGUCUAGCCUACAUCGCUUCUUAUUGGCAAUGCAUGCUACCAGGUGGCUGCUUUUGAAUCUUUAAAAAAAAUUAAAGAAAAUGUCUGAAAGGCAAGGUAAAGAGUAUAAUGAGAUAUGCUAACUUCUUACAAAAUUCUGAAUAAACUCAUGAAACUCCUAAAAUGUUAAUUAGUCCUCUUGUGCUGUAUGCUUAUCACACCUGUUUAGUUAUGCCACCACAGACAUGUUCCCUGGAAUUCUUAUUCUAGUCUGUGACUUCUAGUUAAUGAUGUCAUAAGCCUUUCUCAGUACAUAGUGGCACCAAAAUUCUCUUGUCACUUGGUACAUAGUUCAUAGGGAUGGGAGCACAGAGAAUCAGGUUAGUGGGCCUGGAUUUUAGUUCUGAACUUGUACUAGUUCAUGCAUUUCUAAAACUGUACUUAAAGAAACACAUGCAUGCCCAGGCCCACCCUUAGCCAUUUUUAUAUAGUCAGACUUGAGUGAAGCAAAAAUACCUGUGAUUUUCACAAAGUGUUUCUGAAGCACAGCUCUGCUCAGAGCCCUUGCUUUACAGGUUCCAAUAGUGUCAAAUCUAUGUCACUUAGCCUGAAUCCUCUGGAAAGCCGAGCCUGAAGCAAUGAUUAUGAUUCUAAUAGUUUAUUUUCCAGAUACAAUCACAUCACAGGAUGUUGAGGUAAGGAACAGAUGUAAUCUCUUGCAACACAGUGUGCUACCAUGCUGGCUACUGCAUCACAGCCAUAACACAACAUAUCAGAUAAUUCAGCAGGCUUGUUCAGUCAGCAGGAAGGAAUUAUCUAGAAGGCUUGAAAGGAAGCACUGUACCUGGGAGUAGUAUGCAGGGGAGAGAAAGGAGAAAUAAUUGCCUGCUUGCUUUCUCUCUGUCUCCCUUUUCCCACUGGUCAAAAUUCACUCUGGGUAGAACUACCUCUUUCACAUUUCUAGUUGCUUCAUCUGGUCCUUGAGUAACUGUGCAGGAAUGCAAAUUUUAUGUCCUGUAGGGUGAUGCUUCAUUUAAUUCCAAAGGUAGGGUUGAUUUGGCAACAUAUGGGGUUCUGACUAAGAAAGAGAGGAAGAAAGUAGCUAAAGUUUAUGUCCUUCAAUGCAAUAUUGUCACUGAAGGUGAAGGAGAGAUUAUUGAGGGGUUAUUUCAGCAUGUCAAAAAGAUAAAGUUGGAUUUAAAGAGGGCAUAUAAGAUUGAGGAAAGACAGGAGCCACACAGAAUACAUUGGGAAAAUAAAAAUUAGUGUUAAAUAUUGUUGAUUGGCACUUGACAUCUCUUUCCACCUUUCUAUAUUCUAACCUGCAUCCCAGGAGUUGGAAGGCAAAGAGCUACAUUUACAAGACUCUCUUGCUGCUAGGUUUCUGGCUGCAAUUCAGAUUUUGCCAAUAGGUUGCACUUGUGCAUAGUAUGUGGUAGAGAGCCCCUUUUUAUGUGGCUGUGGUACCACCACCAAGUUUCUGUAGAUGUGUGUACUGGCGACAACAGUAAUUUCUUCACCUAUGGAUUUCAGCUGUAGUGGAGUGACUUUAAAAGCAAGAGUUGGCCAAGUGUGGUGGCUCAUACCUGUAAUCCCAGCACUUUGGGAGCCCAAGGGGGAAGAUAGUUUGAGCCCAGGAGUUUGAGACCAGCUUGGGCAACAUAGUGAGACCCUAUCUAUAAAAAAGUUUAAAAAAUUAGCUGGGCGUGGUGGCACAUGCCUGUAGUCCCAGCUACUCUGGAGGCUGAGGCAGGAGGAUCACUUGAGCCUGGUAGGUUAAGGACGAGGGGAGCCAUGAUUGUUCCAUUGCACUCUAGCCUGAAUGACAGAGUGAGACCUUGUCCCUCAAAAAAAACCAAAAAAAAAAACAAAAAAACCAAGAGUCCAGUAGGGCCCUCUGACUUUUCCUCCUUUAGCUCUUCCAACCAUUUUGUAAGCACCCUCUUUCUGCAUUAAAACUCUUUAUGAGUCAUAUCCCUGGAGCAGUUUGGGUUUCCCGUAAAUGCAGUAAGACAGCAGAAGCACUGAAAAAGAAGUAGAGCUUGUGGGAUCUUGAUACACAGACCCUCAUGCUCAGCUCCUCAUCUGCAUUCAUCGUCAGCCCAGGAAUGGAAAGGGUAAGAAACAGCAAGUCUGCAUUGUGGGAAGAGACAGUGUUUGGGAUCAGGCUUUCAGGUUUGAAUUCUAGUCUCAACACUUACUACUUAGUGAACCUUGGACUUUUGUUUCCUCAGCCUAUAAAAUGAACUAAUACCUCCUCUAAACAACUUAGAUUAUGGCUAUACAGAUUUAAUGAGAUAAUGGAUAUAAAAGUUAUUUUAGCAGCUGUAAUGUGUCCUAAAUGUUAAAAUCAUAAAUCAUCAGUACUUUGAGUAAUGAAUGUUGUGUGUUGUCACCUGGCCUGGAAAUGAACUGGCCCAAACAAUUCCAUAGGCAAGAGCAAUGUGCUCACCAUUGUAUUCCCAGUUUCUAAUACAGGGCUUGACAUGCUGUUUGAUAAAUAUUCAUUGAAUGAAUGAAUUAAUGACAGAUACCUGACAGCUUAUUUACAGACUACAAGUUGCAGAUGGGAAAAUUAGAGUAUCCCAAUGCUUGUUUUUAUUCAUGACUAGCCAAGACUGCUCCCUACAGAGUGAGUAGAAAGCUUUUAAGGGACUCUUUGAUCAACUCCUGCCCCCUUUUGGUUGGUGAUUUAGCCAAGUAUUUGGGAGUUGUCAGUGCAUUUUUUUUCCAGUAAAUAUUUGAAGAACUCCCCAAUAUGUAAAGUUUUCUGGCCAAAUCUUAUCAACAAAAUAGAAAUAAGGCUGUUAGGAACCUGUGGCAAACGUAUGAAUGUCUACCUCCAUUUUGCACUCGUCUAUCUCAUGAGGUGGUGCUGUGCAGUUUCGAUUUUCUAUAUAUUAGCAUCUCUGUGGAACAUUGUACACAAGCUAACAUAUUCUAACAAGCCCUGUGAGUGAUUCUGAGGCAUAUAGAAGUUUCAAAGCCAGUGGUGUGAUGACUUUCAAACUUGUCUACUGAGAAAAUAUUUUUACAUGAUUAUGCAUGUAUUAUCUUGUGUGAAACUUUCACAAAAUCAUUCUGAACCUUACCAUCUAAAAUAAAGGAUAUUUCCUAAUAUGUUCUAUUCUACUCUAUUCUAAUCUAUUUAUAUUUUGGUAAAAUGCUGGUUGUGACUCACCAGACUGAUUCCGCAAAUCCCAUGUGUUAACACCUAUAGUUUGAAAAAUACUGGUUUACAUAUUAGACCUAGCUUAGGAAAUAUGGCCUCUAAUAAUGUUACUACCUUACAUUUGUGUAACAAAAAUCAUUUUAUACAUAUUUUUAUUUUCACUACACAAGAGCCAAUAUGUAUAUUAUGACUCCCAAUUUUACAGAAGAGGAAACAGAUGUUACCUGGAAUUAUAAUGCUACUGAACCACAUAUUGGAACUACAUCUUAUUCCAAAGUACACUGAUAUUUCUGUUACGCAUCUAGUUCACUAGUUUUGGUACAACUUUUGUCAUAAAUAAGCUUUGUUACUUGUGGUGAGUUAUUUCCGUUUUCCACACUUCAGUUGCCCCACUUAUAAAUAGUUUGAGGGUGGCCUAGGGUGGAGGAGUAGGGGACUAGGACUGGAUGAGCAAAAGAUUGGGAAUGGGCUCGUUUUCUGCCUUAAUCCUGACUGAAAGAAUGCCAUUUUCUUUCAGGAAAGACAGACAGGCACACACACAAUUUACUAAUUCCUUAAAUUAUAAAUUUAAUUAUUUAUCUUUUGAUAAUAACAAUAAUAACAACAAUUAACAGCUAACAUGUAUUGAGCACUCAUUCCAAUUCAGGAACAGUGCUAAGAGCUUUAGAUACUUGAUUAAAUCCUCAUUACCUUAAGAGUUAGAUGCCAUUGUCAUCACCACUUGCAGAAGUAGAGAUUGAUGCUUAAAGAGUUAAGUAGUUGCCCAAGGAUACCCAGCCUGUUUGGCACAGUGGGAGAGCAGUGGGCUUACUUCAGAAGAUUUAACCACCAAGCCACACUCCUGGCAAGGUGGUGAUCUUGGCCACUAUGCCAGAUUGUCUACUUCCAGGAAACACCAUUGAACAUGAGUGACUGCAGUAUAUCUUAUAACAGAGUUUUCCUGGAAACCAAUCGAACUAAAUCAAAAGAGUAACACUUCAUGAACUGCUGUCUCUUAACUUCUGUAACAAACUACUGGCAUAGCUGAUAUUGGAGUUGAGUUGUUAGCUAAAACUUCCAAGUGCUCCUUCCAUUCUAAAUGUCUCUGUUGUUUGCUAAAGUGAUUUUUUUUUAAAGACUACGUAAAAUCCACAUGUUUCCUUCAAAUUUGGCACUUGUAAUCUGUUCCUAACUAGUAGUUUGUCAAAUCACCUGGAAUUUCAGAACUAUUAUAUAAACAAUUUGCAUGCUGCCUUCAGAAGUUUUUGAAGUUGGGUGAGCAUAAUAAACCUUUUGGGACCGGGGGAAAUAUCAGAAUUUCUGUUUUUAGCUCCUCCUUUUGAAAGUUUAUGUCUGUGCGUAGUACAUUAGUGUAGUCAUACAUGUAUUAAAUCAAUAAAUAAGUAAACAAACAUUUAUUGUGAUUGUGUGAUCAAAAAAUUAUAGAGACUAUUGAUUUAGUCACUUUUCUAUGUGAAGCUUGAUUUUCUCUCUUGAUAGGGAUAAGGUCUGUAUUAGGCUUGUCUAUUGCUAUGUAACAAACCAUCCCCCAAACUGGUAGCUUAAAACAAUAUCAAUAUUUCAUUUUCUCACAUAGUUGCAAUUUGGGCAGGACUCAGAGGGUCAGCUUGUCUUUGCUUUGUCACAGUGGCUUGAAAGCUGGGCUGGAGCCAUCUGAGGGCUGCUGACUCACAGGUGUGGUAGUGAUGUUUUCUGUUGUCUGGGAAGAUGCAAAUGCUUUGAGACAAAAAUGUCUGGAGCUCCUCAGCAUUUCUUUCUUUCUCUUGUGGUCUUUCCAUGUGGUCUCUCCAGUAUGACAGCUUCAGAGUAGUGAGACGUAUUACACAGCAGCUAGGGCUCUUGAAGUGCAUGUCCCAAGGGAGAGAAUCAGUCAGAAUCCCAAUGACCUUUUCUAAUCUAGCCUUGGAACUUGUACUUGCUCACUGCUGCCACAUCCUAUUCUUCAGAAGUAAAUCACUUGGUGAAUAAGACUUUUUGAUUGGAGGAGUGUCAAAUAAUUUGCUAACAUACAUUAACACCCCGUACACUUUGUUCAAGUGUCACUGGUUGGGCUAGUGAAAGGCCAAUGAUAUGGGUUGGGAGCCAUCUAAGUAAAUUUGGGCUUUAAGUUAUGAGGCGGUUGUGAAUCUGAGAAACUGAGCUGAUCAGGAGGAUCUCCAGGCUGAGUGGAUUAAAACCACUUGUCUCAUUUCCAUUUCAGCCUCCUCACCCCAUGUGGAGGUGAGGCUUUCCUCAGGUGGUCCCCUGCCAAAGUGGGGAAGUCAGCUGGAUUCCUUAUCCUACUCAGAUGUCACUGCUACACGUGUUGAGAAAGAAGAUCAUGCUCCUUGAAUCCUUUCUUGUGCAAGACCUUUGAUUCCCUCGUAAGAAAAGAAGCUGCUUUAGAGUGAGGGCUUCAGACCUUUCAUCAUCCUGGCUCUGGUCCAUCCAUCCUUUCUCUGAUCUGUAGCUCAGGAAUGGGGUGAAGUAGACAUGCCCCAGAUGCAUGUCACUGCCAGGCAGGUCCUUGGAUGGGAAAGUACAAGAUGUACUCACAGAAAGGUGAGAAAAGGCACACGUGGUGGGAGCAACUUCUGCUAAAAACUUAACUGACUUAGAAUCAUUUUCUUUUUUUAAACUAUAAUUCUAUGUAUCACAUUAGUAAAGGCCUCAUAGAAGGGAGUGAAGUAUGUCUGAAGAACAGUUGACUGCUGCUUAUAUAUAAAAGAAAUGAAAUUUAAAUACAACAACAACAACAACACACACACACAUCUGUGACAGUCUGUUAUAUUGUGGUCUGUGGUUGAUAAGGGCUUUUAUCUUGACUAGCAGGAGAGAGUGCAAUAUGGAGCACUCUACAGAUCAGCAGUUCUCUAUCAUUUUUCAAUUUGUGAUUAUCAAACUGCCUGACUGAGAGGCAGGAUAACUAGUAUCAUCUUUCCCAGACUUAUAAGAAGAAUUACCUGGAGGCCUCAUUAAACAUACAAAUUCCCAGCUCCACCCAGAUCCUGGUAAAUGAGAGCCUCCAGGGAAGGACUGUGGAUAUUCAUAUUUUUAGUAAGUUUGAAGGUAAUUGUGUUAGCUGAUGGUUUUGAGGAUUUAUAAUUCAACUUUGCCAUUGUCUGUGUUGAGAUGACAUGUUAUUUCACCAUGUCUAAACAUGCUUACUUUUCUGUAAAAGCAAGGUGAUGAUAGUAUCUCCUUCUGGGUACUAUUGUGAACAUUAAAUGACAAAAUGUGUGCAAAACAAUUAUCAUGGUGCUUGGCGGAAAUGCUGGAUUUGCAUCAGCUACUUCUGUACCUGCUACUGUUGUUGUCAUUUUACCUAGUGAACGCUGAUGCUCUGGGUCCUCCUAAUUGGAGGAAAUAAUACAUAUAAAUGAUAUAGAGAAGUUUCAAGGGAAAAUAAGAUAAAGGAAAGGAAACUCUGACAGGUUGGGAAAGGGCUGAGGCAGUCUAGGUUAGAGAGAUGGGCUAGAUUGAUCCUAUGUAGAGAGAGGACCUAAAUAGAUCCUAGGCAACAGAACAAUCAAUUCUGUUCACAUACAUGCUCCAAGUUUUUGUUUUGCCUUCCCGCUUACUCCCCUUAUGGGAAUAAGGGACUUGGCUCAUUUGCCUUGAUAAAAAAUGUUUUUGUAGGAACUAAGACAUGAUGCGGUUUAACUGGUCAAUAAUAUUAUUUUCAUUUUCUAAAAUUUUCAUUUUGGAUGUGCUGAUAAAGACGAUGUUAUUGCUUUGCAUGAACAGGGCCAUCAGAAAGGCAAAUAUGUGUAGUUCUCAUAACAUCAAAUUUAUUCAUUUACUAUUUAUUGAGCACUAACUCUGUGGUAGGCACUGUUUUAAACACAAAGGAUAUAUCAGUGAGUACAAGAGUAGGAGAGGGAAACGCUCCUGUCCUCAUGGAGUUUUUAUUCUUGUGUGUAUGUAAAUACAUACAGAAGUAAGUUAUGUAAUGAUGAUGAGAAAAACAAGUGAGUGUGUGUGUAUGUAAAUACAUACAUAAGUAAAUUAUGUAAUGAUAAUGAAAAAAACAAGCCAGACAGGAGGAAUGGGAGUAUAGGUUGUGUGUGUGUGCUGGAGGGAAGGACAGACAAAAUGAAGCCAGGAUUAUGUAGGGCCCAGGUAAAGACUUUAACUAUGACUUCAAGUUAUAUAGGAAUUUUAUAAAACAUUUUGAACUAAUAAUAUUUUCAGAGAAUCUCUCUGGCUUCUGGACAAUGAAUUCCAGGGAGGCAAAGUCCCUCUUCAGGUAGGAGACUAUUAUAAUAAACUAAGAGAGAGCUGAUGACAGCCUGGGCUAGGGUAGUAGCAGUAGAGAAGAUGAAGAGUGAUCAGAUUCUGGAUAUACUUUAUGGGUAGAGACAACAGAACUUGUUAGAUAGAUUGGAAUUGGGGAUUGACAGAAAGAUAAGAAUCAAGAAGAACUCAAUCUAAGCAACUGAAAGUUAGGAGUUGCCAUCCCUCUGAGAUGGAAUAAAGUAUAGACAGGCAAGUUUUUAUGGGUAAAGUAGCAGUUAGAUUUUAGGCCUAAGUCAGACGUCUUAGCCAUCAAUGUGGAGAUGUUGAGAAUGAGAAGCAGGCAGUUGUAUAUGUGAAGGUCUGAAAUUCAGGGGAGGGAUUUGAGCCAGAGACAUAAAUUUAAUGCCAAGACCAAAUGGGAUCACCAAUAGAACGUAUAGGAGACUGGACCAUGGAAAGAGUUCUGGGACUUGGAACAUAUAUAUAAGAGGGUAAGGAGAUGAGAAAAAAAACAUCUCAGAAGACUGAGAGGAGCAGCCAAUGAGCUGGAGGAAAACGAGAACAGUGUGUGUCCUGCAGGUCAAGGGAAGACAUUAUGUCAAGAAGAGAGUGAUCAACUGUGUCAAAUGGUACUGAGAACAAGAUGUGUAUUUUAUUCACCACUGGAUUUAGCAAAGUGACAAUCAUUGGUGAAAACCAUGAGAGCAAUUUAAGUGGACUAGUGCUAUAAAUAGCAGGAUUAGUGUAGAUUCAGGAGAGAAUGAGAGUGGUGAAAUGAGAGAGAAAAUGAAUGUGUGUUGCAGGAGGCAGGGGGAUCUUACUUUUGAGAACUUCUCUAACACACACCCAAACAUUCAUACUCUUCUGCAAUCUCAGUUUCUAUACCCCAGUCAAUGAAGCAAAGGCCCAAGACUUUAGACAAACCAGACUACUGACAGCUCCCCAAAGCCCCAUGGUUCUUAAUGCAUCUAGCCACAGAUAAGAUUUUUUUUGCUUUCAUUUUUCAUGUUAGAAAGGAAGGAGGAAAGGAGGGAGGGAAAGAAGGAAAAAACAAAG
rnacentral:lncRNA from 1 species